ACGUACUAUGUAAGAUGUUGCUUCAAUUCUUUUUGAUUAUUCCAUACGUUCUCACUUUUCAAGAAUACCGAAAAUCCCAAGUUCUGUGUCCUUAUGGAAACAAUAUAUACAGAAAUGUGUUAACUCAGAGUCUAGUACAGUGUGCUGUUGUGUGUGCUGUUGAUGUCGGUCUCUGUAGCAGAUUUAUAUAUAAGGACAAACAGUGCCUGUUACACACGGACAAACCUGCGGUUUCGUCGACUAUUCAGACUACGGACAACUGGAGUUUGUUUUUCACCAAACAUAAAGAAUGUGACCUUCCUGGAUAUGAUUAUGAUAUUUCUUCUAGAAUUUGCUUAAAGUUUAAUUCCACACAGCUUGAUUGGUAUGAUGCAAGACAACAAUGUAUUGCUGAAGGCGGAGAUCUUAUAACGGUAGAGACAGUCGAAAAAUUGUAUUUUCACAACACAAGUUUAAAUAAUUGUUCCACGUCGCAGUUUUAUUGGAUCGGACUGAUCAAUGGUACCUGGACGUCAGGAGAGUUAUUUCAGGAUAUCUAUGGUCUUGGACCUACCGAUAUCCGUAUUGCACCGAUUUUUCCUGGAAUCUGUGGCCGACUCAGGUUCUCACCCGGGACUGCUAAUAUGAUGUAUGAUACAAACUGUAAUUACGUGAAAGAAUUCGUGUGUGAGCUUAACAUUUCCAUUUGACUUUCUAUAAAUAAGAAAAUAUGAAGAUAAUCAUUUCAUAUUUUGCCUGAAUAGAUAAGAUAUGUUAUAAAUUGAAAGUUAUUUCAGAACAUAUUGUUUUUGUUGCUUUGAUGACAAAAUACUAAGUAUCUAGUUGAGGUGUUAAAUUUUACAGGGACAAUGACUGUACAUCAAACAACAUCUCAUCAAAGUUUCACUAGGUCCAAUAAGCAAUUUUACUGUAAAUAGAAAAGAAAUCAGAUGUUGCAUACUAUUGCACUAAGAAUGCAUGUACUCUAAAAGAUCUUUGGAUUGCGUUUAGUAUCAAUAAAAGCAACAGUAGUAUACCA